GAAAAAUUCAAAAAAAAAGGCAAAGCCUCGUUUUGAUAGAGGGCGCCAAACAAAGUCCAAAAGGCGGCACAUACCGAUACCGCACAAAACAUCCCCUUGGCCGGCCAUGUGACUACCUCCUGACUCCAUUUCUCUCUCUAAGCGAAGCUAAACCCUUCCUUGUUUCUAUCUCUCUCCUCUCCUGUCCUCUCCUCUCCUUCAUGUUUUCCACUUCUAGUAGGACCCACCGGUCCUCGGCCAUCUCGCCGUUCCGCUCCCGCAAGUCGCCUGCCCAGCCGCUGCCGCUGGCGGCCUCGAAAUCCACUGGACGGCCGUCAACUCCUUCAUCAACGACGUCGUCUAGGCCUCCCUCAAGGAUUUCGGGCACUCCUGUUAGUUCAGGUCUAAGUCCGACGGCUCAGGCCCUCGACCAGCCCGAACCCAGCAAGGCUAAGGAAAAUGUGACGGUUACUGUUAGGUUCCGUCCUCUCAGUGCUAGGGAGAUUAAUAAAGGGGACGAGAUAGCGUGGUAUGCUGAUGGGGAGCAUACAGUGAGGAACGAGAACAAUCCUUCAAUUGCUUACGGUUUUGAUAGAGUGUUUGGUCCUGCUACAACAACUCGCCAUGUUUAUGAUGUUGCUGCACAGCAUGUUGUUAGCGGUGCCAUGCAAGGGAUCAAUGGUACUGUGUUUGCAUAUGGUGUCACUAGUAGUGGGAAGACUCAUACAAUGCAUGGAGAGCAAAAGUCACCUGGGAUUAUUCCAUUGGCAGUAAAAGAUGUGUUUGGAAUUAUACAGGAGACACCUGGACGGGAAUUUCUUCUUCGUGUUUCAUAUUUAGAAAUCUAUAAUGAGGUCAUCAAUGAUUUGCUUGAUCCAACAGGGCAAAACCUAAGAAUACGAGAGGAUGUGCAGGGAACCUAUGUUGAGGGAAUCAAAGAAGAAGUUGUUUUAUCACCUGCACAUGCUCUUUCCUUGAUAGCAUCUGGAGAAGGUAUAUGCUUUCUAAUACUUACAUAUAGAAAUACUUCUUGGGUACACUAGCUGCUGUUUUCACAUUCCCUGUUUCAUUUAACACACUUCAUUUACUAUGUUUCUUGAAGUAUGGCCUUGUGCAUUUGCUAUAUACAUGUUUGUAUCCAUGCACACAUUAUGUUUAAUCCCUGAAAUUCUUAGCUAUGGGACAUCAUUAUGCAUAUGUAUCAACCUGUCUUUUUAUAUUGUUCUAACCCCAAUACAGACAUUUCUUGUUUGAGCAUUUGUGUGCCUCUCAACAUUUUUGUUCUGAUAUUGUUGCAGAGCAUAGGCAUGUGGGUUCUAAUAAUUUCAAUCUUCUAAGCAGUCGUAGCCACACUAUAUUCACCUUGGUAUGUAUUUUUUAUUUUCAGAAUAUGAAGGUCUGAAAAAUCAUAGUUCUGUUUCUGACUUUCUGUAUGAAAAAGCCUGUACAAACUUGAGCUAAACCUUGUAAAGCUAGACAGAUGGGCCAUUUCUAUUAUCUAUUCCUGAGAGGUUUGAUUGACCAAUUGGCCCUUGUUUGUUGGCUUUUUAGUUUUUCAUAGCUUUUGUUUUUCUACACUAAAUAUAUUGUUGCAUUUUAGACUAUUGAAAGCAGUCCACGUGGAGAAAAUGAAGGGGAAGAAGAUGUAACCUUGUCUCAGUUGAACUUAAUUGACCUUGCAGGAUCUGAAAGUUCUAAAACUGAAACAACUGGAUUGCGGAGAAAAGAGGGUUCAUACAUAAACAAAAGCUUACUCACUCUUGGCACAGUGAUCUCUAAACUAACAGAUGGAAAAUCAACUCAUAUUCCAUACCGGGAUUCAAAACUCACACGUUUAUUGCAGUCAUCCCUCAGCGGUCAUGGGCGGAUCUCUCUUAUUUGCACCGUGACACCUGCCUCUAGCAAUAGUGAAGAGACACACAACACAUUGAAGUUUGCACACAGAAGCAAGCAUGUGGAAAUCAAGGCUUCUCAGAAUAAGAUUAUGGAUGAGAAGUCUCUCAUAAAAAAGUAUCAGAAGGAAAUUUCCUCCUUAAAGCAAGAACUUCAGCAAUUAAAGCGUGGGCUAAUGGAAAAUCCUUAUAUGGCUGCAUCUACCCAGGAGGAUUUGGUUAAUUUGAAGCUUCAGUUGGAAGCUGGUCAGGUCAAAUUACAGUCAAGAUUGGAAGAAGAGGAGCAAGCCAAGGCAGCUUUAAUGGGAAGAAUUCAACGGUUGACAAAACUUAUCUUGGUUUCCACCAAGAACUCAAUGCAAUCAAGCCUUCCAGAAAGGCCCAGUCACAGGCGAAGACAUUCUUUUGGGGAAGAUGAGUUAGCAUAUUUACCAGAUAGGAAACGAGAAUAUAUGACUGAAGAAGAUGCUGGAAGCUAUGCUUCUGAGCUUUCGGCUGACAAAGGGGAUGAUAUCACCAAUCUAGAUGAGUUGGUGAAUGAUUACAAAAGGAACAGGAGGCGGGGGAUGCUUGGCUGGUUUAAACCAAGAAAGCCCGAAAAUCUGGUUAGGUCAUCACCAAGUGCUGAUAGUGGGAGCUCUGCUGGUGGAUCACCUGCAUCUUGUUCUAAAUCAUCACAAAAUAAAGUCAUGUUUAGUGAUACAAAGGAUGGACGGAGAAUAUCAAUCAGUCGAAGAGGAGACGAUUCUGUGCUCAUUGACUCGUUUCCAGAAAGAAACCAAGCAGGUGACUUGUUUAGUGCCGCUGUUGGUGGUCACCAAUUGCCUCCGACUGGGACAACAAUCACGGAUCAAAUGGAUCUGCUUCGUGAGCAGGUGAAAAUGUUAGCUGGGGAGGUGGCAUUGUGUACUAGUUCUCUGAAAAGACUGUCAGAGCAAGCCAGUAGUAACCCUGAAGAUUGUCAACUGAAGGAUCAAAUGCAGAAGUUAAAAGAUGAAAUUACUGAAAAGAAGCUUCAGAUGCAUGUUCUGGAGCAACGCAUGAUUGGAUCAGUUGAGAUGACACCAAAUAAAUCAAGCAGCACUGGAUUGUCACAGGCUCUAUCCAAGCUCACUACGCAGCUAAAUGAAAAAAUUUUUGAACUUGAGAUUAAGUCUGCAGAUAACAGGGUACUUCAGGAGCAACUACAGAUGAAGAUAGCAGAAAAUACUGAGAUGCAAGAGACAAUUCUACUUCUGAGGCAGCAGCUUAAUUCAUUAUUGGGUAACAGUCAACCACCAAUUGCAGAAUCUGACACACUUAAAACUUGUUCUGAAGAGCUACCGAGGCAGAACCAAGGGGGGAAUAAUGAGAUUUGGCCAUGUGAAGAAAACUCUAUUGAUGAAAAUACGCCAAAAAGUGUCAUGAGCUUGAAUCGAAUAUUUUCCCAUGAUGACUCCAAAGAAUUCAAUGGCAAUUCUCCUUUGAGUUCUCAAGUUCUUAAGCAGGCUGCUGAGAUAGAGAAUCUGAAGCAAGAGAAGGUAAAGUUGUCUGAAGAAAAUGAUGGGCUUGAAAUUCGAAGUCAGAAACUGGCAGAGGAAGCUACAUAUGCAAAAGAACUGGCUGCAACUGCAGCAGUUGAGCUCCGGAGCUUGGCUGAAGAAGUAACCAAGCUUUCUUAUGAAAAUGCAAAGCUGACUGGUGAUCUGGCUGCUGCAAAGGAGGUGCAUUGCAGAUCUAAUUGUUGUCAGAGAUCUGUUUCAUAUGAUUCCAAACAGAAUUCAAGUAGUGCUCGAUCUGAUGGUCAUGCAAGAAGACAAGAAGAUGGUUUAUUUAUUGAGGAGUUACGAAAAAAACUAAAUACAACAUGCCAAAGAGAAUCGGCAUUGGAAGCUGUAGUAUCUGAGAAAGAUAAAAUAGAAAGUGAGCUACGGGAAAGACUUGGUGAAGCAAAACGGCGUGAAGAAGAUUUGGAAAAUGAGCUUGCCAAUAUGUGGGUGCUGAUUGCAAAGAUGAGAAUGUCCAGUUGCAAUGCUGAGGAUAUACCAUCUGAAGGGGCCCUUUCAUCUAACACUUCUCAAUCUGGACUUAAAAAUGGAUUUUUUCCAUCUAAUGGUCAUUCUAAUAGAAUAUCCAAAGAUGAAAUCUGUGAAAACAAGGAUGGGAUAAGCACAUUAGAUGAGUUAAAAAUCAGUUAUCAAAAAGAAAGAAGAAGAUGCAAGGAACUUGAAAGCCUUAUUUCAAGAUUAAAGGGUGAAGACAUUGGUGGUUUGGAUGUCAAAGCACUUGAGCAGCUACAGAAUUUUCAUAUUGAGGCUAUAACAAAAAUUUCUCAUGCAAAGUGUGCAAAUCAUAUCUUAUAACAUUCGAUGACCUAUUAUGUUGAAUCCUGCCAUACUGGAGUUUCUGACCUCUGAGGUGUAACCAAAUGUACAGUAACAGAAGUAACCCAAUUGAUGUAUGCCAGCUUCUCUCAUAACUCUCAGUAGAAGCAACAGCCACGGAGUAGCACCUUUCUUGUAAUCCUAAAUGCGGUAGCUAACUUGUAGCGGAAAUGAACUAGGGAUAUUACCAUAAUUUUGUAACAAAUGCUAUGUAUGUGGGACAAACCCAUUAAAUCUAUUGUGAAGGUUACAGAUCACAGAAGAAAGAACAACAUUUGUAAACCUAUGUGAUUGAACAAAUGUAUCUAUCUACUAUCUAUAAUGACAUCAAGCUAUUUAUUUUUGCCUUUUAUAUCUUGGUGCAAUGUUCUUUGUAUCAGUAUUGGUCUUCACAGUAGCAUAUGGUGAUGGGCAAUGCUCGUCUAGGAAACCAUAAUUAGUUGGACAAAAACCUUCAUUAUAGUCACGGUCCACAUUCGGAAGUCUGUCACAAUUGGUAGGAACCCAGCCGAUCCGAUGCUUAUCAUUGUCAUAUAUCACCAGUUUAUCUUGUAAAAAAAUGUCUCCAAUUAUGUUGAUGUUUCCCAAUCCUACUUCACUACCAUUUAGAAUCCCCAAGCACACAUUUCCAUUUUUCGUGAUAAUAAGAUAAUCUUCAGGUGGUAAUUGCAGCUGAACAUUCUUAGAUUUUGUAAAGCUUAGUGCUAAGGGCGUGAAGUAGCUCUUGACAUCACUAACAGAUUUGAAGGGUUUUGCACCUUUCCAGCAGAUUGAGAGGGCCUUCUCCUCUGGUGCAUCUUUUAAUGGCUUUCCAGAUAGAUCUUUCCUAAUCAAAUUAAGUGUGCUUUGGUAAAUUUGGGCACUGAAGUAAGUAUAAGAGCUCCCACUGUCAAAAAUCAAUUCUAGUCCCUUUAUGCCAGUGGACUUUCCACCAAAAAGAAGUUCUGCUGGUCCUGAUGUGUAGUGUUUGUCCAAUGAACUGCGGGUCAUUGGUGUCCAACUGAUUCCCGAAGAAGGGACAAGAUGAUCUCCAAAAAAUAAAAAUCCUCCCCCCAGCCUACUCAAACAGUGUCCUAUCACAUUCUUUAUUACACCCAGGUCCUGCAGUUGUGAAACAAAGCUUGUUUUGCCAUUGCCAAGGCCAAGGACCCCUGAUGUGGGAGGUGGUGGGAGUGAGCCUGGAUUCUUUUGAUCAUAUCCACACCCAAAGGCCAUUAGAGGUCUGAGGAGAGAGCCAUUCAUUAAUCUUAGGGGAAAGUAGUCUAAGACCAGCACCCCAAGAGAUGAACCAUCAUCAGCAUACUGGACCUCAUAAUCACAUUGAUCAUUAGAAGACUCACACUGAAACUUUCCUCCUGAGUGGAUGGCGCUGCAUAAGGGGUCAGCACAAGGCACUACAUUGUUUUUUGGCUUGUAAAGGCGAUCAAGAGGCUGUGUACAACCAGUGCAAGGUGCAUCACAUUGGACCCAAGUAAGGUCACUGCCAGUAUCAAUAUCUAAUUCGAAAAGCUUGGGGGGAUUGCCUAUAUUGAGGGACACAGAAUAGUACCCAAGAGGAUAAACAUUUCCAGCAACAGGAAGAAGAAGAGAGGAGCCAAAACUAGUAGGCUGGGUUGACUUUUUCUUGCUGGGUUUGGGUGUUUGACUAGCAGCAGAGAAAGAGCCCUGGAAAUUUGCAACCAAUACAAUAAAGAAGAAAGCCAUCACUGAAGAUGACAGUAGUACCCUUCUUCUUUUGCUUUUCUUUUCCAUCUCUUCGACUCAAUCGAGCUAUUUCCAGAAUGAGUUUCAAGAUUUCAGGUCAGAAGAAAAAAACAGCAGAAAUCUAGAGAAAGCUGAAGGGCAAAGUCUUCUCGGUUCCGCCUGAUAUCGAGUUCUGGCAUUGGCAUACGUGGCG
rnacentral:misc_RNA from 1 species